rnacentral:rRNA from 1 species
GGCGAAGAAGUAUUUCGGUAUGUAAAGCUCUAUCAGCAGGGAAGAAAGGCUCGUAAGAGAGAUGACGGUACCUGACUAAGAAGCCCCGGCUAACUACGUGCCAGCAGCCGCGGUAAUACGUAGGGGGCAAGCGUUAUCCGGAUUUACUGGGUGUAAAGGGAGCGCAGACGGUGAUGCAAGUCUGAAGUGAAACCCCACGGCUCAACCGUGGGCUUGCUUUGGAAACUGUAUGACUAGAGUACUGGAGAGGUAAGCGGAAUUCCUAGUGUAGCGGUGAAAUGCGUARAUAUUAGGAGGAACAUCGGUGGCGAAGGCGGCUUACUGGACGAUCACUGACGUUGAGGCUCGAAAGCGUGGGGAGCAAACAGGAUUAGAUACCCUGGUAGUCCACGCCCUAAACGAUGAAUACUAGGUGUUGG